GGCUCAAGCUUAGAACCAUCUAAGCGCUUAAAUUCGCGGAGGACAGAUAUUACUGAAGAUGGUGAUUCCGGGAGCUCUGGAUCUAGAAAGAGAUUUAGGCUUGGCACAGGAGAGGAAUCCGAUGGUCAUCAAGAUGAAAGCCAGAAAUCCGAAAGGCAAAUUGAAUAUAAAGGCAGCAUUUUAGCAAAAAGGAGGAGAGGAAUCCGAUGGUCAUCAAAAUGAAAGCCAGAAAUCGGAAAGGCAAAUUGAAUAUAAAGGCAGCAUUGUAGCAAAAAUUUCCCGGUUGAUGAAGAACUUCAGAAAAUUGGAGACUGCUUAUUUCAUGACAAGACGCAGGGUUGUUAAAACAAUGGACAAAUCUA
rnacentral:lncRNA from 1 species